UGGAUUUUGAUUUUGGAGAAUUUAUUGUUUGUCAAUUUCAAUUGUCAUACAAAUUUGUAUUUUAGGUGUGUAUUUUCAAUUUAGGCCUAAGUUACAACUACUACAGUUUAAAGAACCAUUUUUGUCAUCACAAAAUGGGUGGAAUGAGGUGGAUAUUGGGGACUGGGAGGACUGGAGUGAUAGUGAUUCAGGAGUUGAGAUUUUGGAUUUUGGAGAUGGAUGCACCCUCCUUCAGAAGGCGCUGAAAGGAAUACUAAUUAUAGGCCGCUGUACUCCGUAAAAGAACUUAAGGAAGAGCACCUAGUGAGAUAAGUGUGUGUCUGCCAUAUCAUCCGUUAAACAGCCAGGUUUUUGAAGGAAGAAAGAUGUAGCCCCAGCUCUGGACAAAAAUAUUAUGGAGAAGGUUGGCCGCUGUACAGGGCAGCUAUAGUUAUUAUUAUAUGUUGCCUUUUAUUGUUAUGUACUGUUUUUAUACUUUACCAAUAAACCUUAUAUUUAAUCUA